rnacentral:lncRNA from 1 species
GCCAAGGGCAAAAAAAAAAAAACAACAAAAAAAAACCCAAACCAACAUAUCUUGCAGGAAAGCAGUGACUCGUAUGACUGUUUUUGCCUGGGAUGUUGCACUUUGACAACGUCCCGUGGGAGACCCAGGUGCAUCCCCCGUCCCGGGCUCUCUGGGGCUGGUGUUUCUGCUGCUGCCAAUCGGCCACACAGCCUGAAACCUCCCAGUUUCUCACUAAAUGGUUCUCCAGCUCUUCCCUACUCGGCUUGCAGAGGCACAUGGAGGGGAUCUUGUUGCCAUGACCUUAUAGCACAGCCGCGUGCUGCGAAGUCCUGCUCAAUUAUUGUUAUUAUCAAUUAUUUAUAUCCCGGAGGCUCCAGCCAAGACUCUGCAGCCCUUUGGAGCCGUUGCACAGACACAGUGGAAGAUUGUCCUGUCCCAUCCCAUCCCGUUCUGUUCUGUCCCGUCCCGUUCUGGCCCAUCCCAUCCCAUUUUGUCCUGGCCCAUCCCAUUCUGUUCCAUCCCAUCCCAUUCUGCCCUGUCCCAUCCAAUUCCAUCCCAUCCUGUUCCAUCCCAUCCUACCCCACAGCACUCCCGAUUUUAAGGCACGGGGGAGCCAUUCCCCCCCAUGGGGAGACAGGGAAGGGCCACUGCAGCCCCGCACACACCAGCAGGACCCCAGGAGGUCCUGCUCACCUCCACACGAGGUUUCUAGUCCUCCUGCUGCUUUCUCCAGCUGAUCCUCCUACAUGUUCCCAGCAAGGGGGUCCUCCCACCACCCUGCACCCCACUGCCAGCAGCCAGGCUGGGGCCGGGGGCAGAGCUGUCCCCCCCAGGGUGGCAGCCAACCUGGUUGCCCCUCGCAGCCCCAUCUCAGUCCAGCAUCCCGAGCCCUGGUUCUCCCGCUCCUCCCGCUGCCACAAACGCCAAGGAAAAUGUAUAGAUGUUCUAAAAUGGAAAAUAAAGCACUCCCCCACACACGCUUCUCCUCCCGAGGACAGGAUGAGAGAACAAACAUGUGACAACCGUUAG